rnacentral:rRNA from 1 species
UACAGAGGGGGCUAGCGUUGUUCGGAAUUACUGGGCGUAAAGCGUGCGCAGGCGGCGCGUUAAGACAGGUGUGAAAGCCCCGAGCUUAACUUGGGAAUUGCGCUUGUGACUGGCGUGCUGGAGUGUGGCAGAGGGAGGUGGAAUUCCACGUGUAGCAGUGAAAUGCGUAGAGAUGUGGAGGAACACCGAUGGCGAAGGCAGCCUCCUGGGCCAGCACUGACGCUCAUGCACGAAAGCGUGGGGAGCAAACAGG